GGAUAGUCAUUUCAGAGCAACAUGAUGACAGACUGUGCACAUUAAGACCAGGAACUAGCAUUACGAAGUAAAUAAGGUAAAGUUUGAUUUCAAGUUAACUUUAAACUCACAGCUAGGGAGGGUCUGAUAGUGUUGCCAUUGGUCGUGUCUCCUGAGGUCUCCCUCUAGCACACCAUAAAAGGCCGGGGGCAUGACUUACACCAUACUGCAGCUAAUUACAUACCUCUCUCAUCACUCAUCUGCAUGAUGUCAGCACAUCCCUCCUGUGUUUUGGGAUCUACAGCAGAGUGAGUUGAUCAUGAUAUGUCUCAUGAGAGCCACUUUAAAAGGGGUUUAUGUAUAAAAUAAUUAGCUUUUUCAUGAAAAAUGUGAGUGGGCACUCCAUCGCCACGAGUGUUUACACAUCAGUGUUGUCAGAACAAUGGGAGGCACUGAGACUCAUGAAAAACUACAAAGAACGAGAUGGCAGGGAAUAAAGAUGAAAAUGGAUAUGUGAGGCAACAUUUUUUAUCCUACCAGUGAGAAAUGGAUCGAAAGAAGGCCUCUUCCCAGCAAGGAAACUUUUCUUCAGCUGAUGUGCAGCUGUUUUCUGGAUCCCCUUGGAAAACCUUGGCUAUGUUGUCAUGUUCUGCCUUUGUUAAGUUCCUUUCUUAUUUUCCUGCACGACGGCCGUGCGCCUGCAAAUAUAUGAUAUAAUUGAUUUCGUAUGGUUUUAGUACCCCUGUAGUACCUCUGCUGAAAUGUAGGCUACAAACAUCUCAUAGCGCAAAGAAGAUUUUCAGUACUGUAACAUCAGUUGUCAUCAAACAAUAUAUGUUAGGAUUUGAUGUGCAUUUUUUGUCUACUGUGAUAUGACAUCUCAGGGUUCAGCACUCCAAGUCACCCAUAAUUUACAUCAUAUGGGUGGAUCGUCGUUGUGUGAUUCAUAGAUCUCCCCCUGCCUUCAAAAAGAGGAAGUACAGCAUGAGAAUGGCUCCUUUUCUGCACCCAGAAAUAAAAUCUGCUUUAUAAAGGGAAAUGUCACUUACCACAACUUCCUUUCACAGCUGCCUUUGGUUGCUAAGAGAAUAUUUCGGUACAAAUAUACACUCAGAAUUUUAGUUAGAAACUAGAUGUGGUUUAAUUACACUCUAUUUAAGAAAAUGAAAGGAACUAGCAUCUAUCUAACGUUAGUUAGGUUCUAACAUCCAUUCAGCAAUUUUUAAUUAAAUGUAAUGUGCUAUACAGCAGUUACUAUGUUGCUAUAACCAAAAGUAACAACAAAGCAACAAGUGGUUGUUAUCAGCUAAACUGUUUACAAAAUGAGUCACUACUAGCACUGUUCAGUGCACAGUGUUUACAACACAAAUGUCCCCACUCACCGAUAUUUUUUCAGCUGUCAUGGUAGCCUUUGUGUUUUUUCCUCCAUUGGUCCUUAUGUUACUUCACUGGAACAAGAACAUGAAGUUGUUUCCGUUGCCUAUGAAGGAAACUUUCUAAGUUCCACGAGAAAACAUUGAAUGGAAAAAGGCAUGCACCUUAUUUAGUUAUUUAGCUCAAAAAAUUUUGAGGCUUAAAUUGUGUUUAUUUAGUCAUUUUUUAGAAAUGUUUAUAUUGUCAGGAAUUGAUAUAAUAGUGUGACAUAAGAGGGAGCUUGAUGUGAUAACAACAUCAAUCAUGACACAGCAUAAUUACGUAUAAUUUCUGUGCAAACACUGGCUACGAUGCUAGGCUGUUGUAGAUGGUUUCCUGGGAUCAUUAUAGGGGCUUUCACACCAGAGGAACCUUUUCAUAGUUCCUAGAACUACUGGCGGAAGUACCCGGAUUUUGCCGUGUUUGCAACGCAGGAACAAGGAACGAUUUUACUCCUUAUUAGGGAACUAAAUUAGACCCAGAGUAGGGUCUAAACCAGCACUAUAGGAACUAUCAGUGAUGUAAGUGUACGUUGGUUUGUCAAACGCAUGUCAAACACCGGCAACCAGCAUUUUUAAAAAGCCGUGUAAACAUUUACUUCACAAACAUGUGGUUUCUAAGGAGAGUCGAGGGGUUGACAGCAUGUUGCUAUGAGGUUGUUAAGGAUUCCUGGGGUGGUUACUAGAUGGUUAAAGAGCCAAUAUCUAAGUCUAUGACCUUGUCUCUAUAUGGCUCUAAUAUGGCUUAAGUCCCUCCUUUAACGCAUAUCUGUGGUAUUUUUCUGCCAGUUUUUUUUGU